rnacentral:lncRNA from 1 species
GAAAUAUAUUCCUUUUAACAGUGCUCCUUGAAAAACAACAAUAAAAUGUUUAGGGUAGGGGAUAACAAUUAGGGUAGGUAUGGAAAUAGGGAACAUUGGUAUAUUUUGUCUUGCCAUGGCCUAAACUGGUCUCCGUAGAAAUUUGUUUUGCAUGCUUUUUCCAUAGGGUUAUAUGUUAAACUAUGUUCGGCUGUGGUGGCCAUCUUUGAUUUCCGAUCGGCACCAAAAUUUUAAAAUUACUGAAGGGCC